rnacentral:rRNA from 1 species
AACGAACGCUGGCGGCAUGCCUAACACAUGCAAGUCGAACGAAUCCUUCGGGCUUAGUGGCGCACGGGUGCGUAAAGCGUGGGAAACUGCCUUCUGGUUCGGAAUAACAGUUGGAAACGACUGCUAAUACCGGAUGAUGUCGAAAGUCAAAAGAUUUAUCGCCAGAGGAUGAGCCCGCGGAGGCGUAGCUAGUUGGUGUGGUAAAGGCGCACUAAGGCGACGAUCCUUAGCUGGACUGAGAGGAUGAUAGGUCGAUCGGGGACUGAGACACGGCCCAGAGUCCUACGGGAGGCAGCAGUGGGGAAUAUUGGACAAUGGUCGAAAGCCUGAUCCAGCAAUGCCGCGUGAGUGAUGAAAGCCCUAGGGUUGUAAGGCUCUUUUACCCGAGAUGAAAAUGACAGUACCGGGAGAAUAAGCCCCGGCUAACUCCGUGCCAGCAGCCGCAGUAA